AAAAACGCCGGCAACUGGACGUGCCGACAAGGGCAAACAACAAAUCAGGCCGUAACGACCGCGCUGGACGGUGAACGGCCGCGACGCGGUGCGUCAGGAACCGGGGGGCGUUGAACUCAAAACACAUGGCACUGCAGCCAUUGCGGACGGAUUCUAGCAGGGUUUUAUAGAUCGUCAAUGCUAUAAAACUCACAAAACAUAACAAAAUGUAA
rnacentral:sRNA from 1 species